CAUAGAGAGUGUGUUUUACAUGAGCGACACACACUUCAGUGCUCUGUGUGUGUUUAUAACUCUGACAAACAUCAAACAUGAUCAACAACUGUUUCUCACUAGAACUGAACCUACAACCAACAGAAAUGACUUUCAUCACCAUAUUGAUCUGGACUCUGACUGUAUUAUGUAGAGAAUCUAUUGGGCAGGUGACAGUGACUCAAACUCCCUCAGUGCUGCUCGCUCAAACUGGACAAUCAGUCACUGUGACCUGUAAAUCCAGCAGUGAUCCUACCUGCUGUUGUAGUGGAAAACAGUGUCUCAGCUGGUACUUACAGAAACCUGGAGAAGCUCCUAAACUCCUGAUUUAUUGGGCAAACCGUCUCCAGUCAGGAACUCCAUCUAGAUUCAGUGGCAGUGGAUCUAACAGUGAUUUCACUCUGACCAUCAGUGGAGUCCAGACUGAAGAUGCUGGACAUUAUUACUGUCAGAGUUACCACAGUGGUGGUGUGUUCACACAGUGAUUGUGAGUUGUACAAAAACCUGUGUCAGUCAGAGUCACAGUGACUGAACUGAUGCUGCAGCUGAUCAAACACUAUCACUCACUACUGACACACAGAGACCAAACACAGAACUACACAUGAGCUCACAACU